GAACACUUGCAAGUAAAGAGAUAUG
rnacentral:piRNA from 1 species